rnacentral:rRNA from 1 species
AUGAGCAGCGUCACUGCCACCGGCAUCUCGCAGUCCACCGGCCCGUGCCUCCUGCUUCGCCAACACCACCGCCGGCGAGUGGUGCCGCGGUCCCUAUUCCGGCGGCAGCCGCGCGGGCACACGACUGCCCGGUGGGCGUGCGGCGCCAGGAGGCGGGUGAGGUACGAGGAAGAGGAGGACGAGGAGGAGUACGGGCACAACGAGGAGAUGGCGCGGCUGGAGACCUACAGCGAGGGGGCGCGCGACGUGGCCCUCCUCGUCACGGCCGCCGUCGACGGCGAGCUUGAGUCCGUGCUCGUCUUCAAGGGCUUCUCGUCGAGCCUGAGCGGGAGGACGGCGCCGGACCCGGCCAUGAGCGUGCUCCCGGAGAGGGCCGUCAUACAGUCCGUCGACGUGGUCAAGGGGCCGUUCGACCCCGACAACAUCGAGUACCUCGAGAAGGAUUUGUCAUGGGAAGAAUUCAAGAGCCGACUCCAAUAG